CACGCCGUAAACUAUGAUCACUGGAUGUUAGCGAUACACAGCUAGCGUCUGAGUAAAAGCAUUAAGUGAUCCACCUGGGGAGUACNGAUACGCGAGGAACCUUACCCGGGCUCGAACGUGAGAGGAAUAUAGAGGAAACUUUAUAGCCAGCAAUGGCCGCUUACGAGGUGC
rnacentral:rRNA from 1 species